rnacentral:lncRNA from 1 species
UAUAGUUUAGGAUUAUAGGCAAUUCUAUUAGGAUUACUGUGUUUAGUUCAUCUAAUCUAUAAUAUGAUCGGUAAUGCAAUAUUACAAAUAGUGUAAGAUUAUAUUGAACAUAUUACAAAGCAGAGGGGUGAGUAUCUUGUAUUACUGAUGGUGCGUAAUCUUGCAUGUUAUAUAAAAUUACGAUUUUAUUCCUUCGGCCCCUAAAUUUUUUCAAUAUGUCAUUUUUUUUGUCUCUCUGCCUCUCUCUUUCGCUUCCUUUCUUCUGUUAUUCCUAUUCGCACAAACCCUUCCCUACUACUAAUCUCGGCCAAGUGCUGGCUGCCGCCUAUCUGCUGCCAACAUCGCCACUAAGGUCACCGUCGCCACCCUCUCUGCUACCUCUUUGCUGCUGACACAGCUGCCGAAGUCAUCACCGCCGCUCUAUUGUCGAUAUUUCAAUUUUUUUAUUUAUUCUUACAU